rnacentral:lncRNA from 1 species
UCCUCCUCUCAGCUGAAGCUGCCCCACAGCUGCGGCCACAGCUCAGCACAGGCCGGGCAGAGCAGGGGCUCAGGCAGCUGCAGAAAGGAUGAUCUAGCAGGCCUGCCUACUGCCCAGCUGGCCCUGGGGCGCAGAAGGAUGUCCCCGUUGUGCCAGGCAGGUGGCAAGGAUUGUCUGGUGUCCGCGGACCCAGAAGAGAAAGCAAGGAAAUGCUUAGGGUCUCCAUCUGGGAGGCUCUUUGGCUGGAGGUGGCUUUUCAAGGCUUUGAGCCCUGGCUCGCCUUGGGCUUCUCCUGCCGACCCUGCUCUGGCCUGUGUUCCUCCCUUGGUCACUCGUGUUCUCGAGAUUGCCUGUGGUCCUCUCCGGUAAUGGGGUGCAGGACAACGCCACCUUCCUCCCAGCCCCCUCUUUCUCAGCCUGGCCCCUCCUUGCCCCAGGACCCCACCAUCACCCCUGAAGAGGCCAGACAGGCGUCUACGUGGACAGACGGCACGGUCACAUUCCCAGACGCUCCUCGGCCACUUGCACUUCCUCUUUUGUGUCCCACCCAACACCGCUCCCCGGUUGGUCUCCAGUCUCGUGCACACGGAAGCCUGGGGGACACAGCUUCCCUGAGGAUCCCAAGCCACAGGGCCCAUGGAGGACAGGGGCAUCCGUGCACUCACGGGAGCCACAGCCACUUCAUAACUGCACCAGCGUCUGCGUGUAUCUGAACAGCAGCAUGAAGACAGCCAGCUCUGUCCUCGGCUCAGAGGCCAGCAGGGACCCACAACACUGAGGAUGCUGUCGAGAGCAGCUGCCUGGUGCUUCACACCCCGUGCACCAAAAGUGCGUGGCUCACUGUGCUGCUCAGGGUCCUCGUUAGGAACGAUUGGCCCAGAUCCAAUUAGAGACGGGCCCGGGACAUGCAAACCAAGGAGCAGAGGCGGAAAUCACAGAGCAAGCCACAGAUGCGGUCUGGCUGGGCAGGAUGGAAGUCAAGGCCUCCCUUGGCUGGGAGACUUGAUGCUCAUCCUCGUGAGUCUGCUGACUGGUGGCGGGGACCCUUGGGACAUUCACCUUCAGCAUGGGGUGGGCAAUGGAAGUGCAGCUUCCUGGACUGUUGACUGCGAAUGACGUUGCUCUUGACAGUACUGUUAUGGGCAAGGAUGGAAAAUCAUGCUCAGAUCCACAUGCACCAGUGUCAGAGAGACAACAGUUCUCAGAGUCACCUAGGUGGGCAGUCACAGGAGCUGGGACAUCAGCUGGGAGACAGCAAGGAUGAGGUACCAGAACGCCACUAGAACCCCAGGUUAAAGAUAUUUAAUGACAUGGGAACAGGCAAUCUAUGAAUUAUGCAAUCUUUUAUGAAGUAGACUAUAAGCUAAGCUGGAAUCUAUAUCAUGAUCCAGAAUUUUCCUGGAGGGAGCAAGAGAGAGAGAGAAGGAAGAAGAAGAAGGAGGACAGGGUGGGGGGAGGAGGAGGAGAGGGGAUGCACGUGAUUUUUACUUUGUGCCCACACAGUAUUGAAGAGCACAGACUGAAGGCAACAUUCAGUUUAAAUCUCUUCUGCCCGCCUGUCCUCCUGACAGCCAUCAGACCACAGCCAAUCAUGUAAGCGGCCGGGGAUGUAGCUCAGUGGCAUCGUGCCUGCUUUGCAAGUGCAAGGUCCUGAGUUCGAUCUCCAGUACCAAAAAAAAAUCAUGUAACCUCCGUGCCUCAGUUUGUUCAUAGGUAAACUGAAGAUUAGAACAAUGCCUACCUUUACAGGUGUUUGGAAGAGUGGUAGUGCAGGGUAAGCAUUGCACACAUUUAUCACGUAACAUUUAGAAACUGAGUUUCUACAGUUUUUUAAAAAAUGUCUGCAAAAUCCUCGCAUUACUGCCAUAGUUAAAAUAAAAAUACUUACAGUGGACCCUUGACUAACGAACUCAAUUUGUCUGCAAGGGAUGAUUCUAAUUCACGUUUGUCAAUUGA